rnacentral:rRNA from 1 species
AUACAUGCAAGUCGUACGCUUCUUUUUCCACCGGAGCUUGCUCCACCGGAAAAAGAAGAGUGGCGAACGGGUGAGUAACACGUGGGUAACCUGCCCAUCAGAAGGGGAUAACACUUGGAAACAGGUGCUAAUACCGUAUAACAAUCGAAACCGCAUGGUUUUGAUUUGAAAGGCGCUUUCGGGUGUCGCUGAUGGAUGGACCCGCGGUGCAUUAGCUAGUUGGUGAGGUAACGGCUCACCAAGGCCACGAUGCAUAGCCGACCUGAGAGGGUGAUCGGCCACAUUGGGACUGAGACACGGCCCAAACUCCUACGGGAGGCAGCAGUAGGGAAUCUUCGGCAAUGGACGAAAGUCUGACCGAGCAACGCCGCGUGAGUGAAGAAGGUUUUCGGAUCGUAAAACUCUGUUGUUAGAGAAGAACAAGGAUGAGAGUAACUGUUCAUCCCUUGACGGUAUCUAACCAGAAAGCCACGGCUAACUACGUGCCAGCAGCCGCGGUAAUACGUAGGUGGCAAGCGUUGUCCGGAUUUAUUGGGCGUAAAGCGAGCGCAGGCGGUUUCUUAAGUCUGAUGUGAAAGCCCCCGGCUCAACCGGGGAGGGUCAUUGGAAACUGGGAGACUUGAGUGCAGAAGAGGAGAGUGGAAUUCCAUGUGUAGCGGUGAAAUGCGUAGAUAUAUGGAGGAACACCAGUGGCGAAGGCGGCUCUCUGGUCUGUAACUGACGCUGAGGCUCGAAAGCGUGGGGAGCAAACAGGAUUAGAUACCCUGGUAGUCCACGCCGUAAACGAUGAGUGCUAAGUGUUGGAGGGUUUCCGCCCUUCAGUGCUGCAGCUAACGCAUUAAGCACUCCGCCUGGGGAGUACGACCGCAAGGUUGAAACUCAAAGGAAUUGACGGGGGCCCGCACAAGCGGUGGAGCAUGUGGUUUAAUUCGAAGCAACGCGAAGAACCUUACCAGGUCUUGACAUCCUUUGACCACUCUAGAGAUAGAGCUUCCCCUUCGGGGGCAAAGUGACAGGUGGUGCAUGGUUGUCGUCAGCUCGUGUCGUGAGAUGUUGGGUUAAGUCCCGCAACGAGCGCAACCCUUAUUGUUAGUUGCCAUCAUUUAGUUGGGCACUCUAGCAAGACUGCCGGUGACAAACCGGAGGAAGGUGGGGAUGACGUCAAAUCAUCAUGCCCCUUAUGACCUGGGCUACACACGUGCUACAAUGGGAAGUACAACGAGUCGCGAAGUCGCGAGGCUAAGCUAAUCUCUUAAAGCUUCUCUCAGUUCGGAUUGUAGGCUGCAACUCGCCUACAUGAAGCCGGAAUCGCUAGUAAUCGCGGAUCAGCACGCCGCGGUGAAUACGUUCCCGGGCCUUGUACACACCGCCCGUCACACCACGAGAGUUUGUAACACCCGAAGUCGGUGAGGUAACCUUUUGGAGCCAGCC